GACGAGCGCUGGCGGCGUGCCUAAUACAUGCAAGUCGAGCGCAGGAAACUGACGGAACUCUUCGGAGGGAAGGCAGUGGAAUGAGCGGCGGACGGGUGAGUAACACGUAAGGAACCUGCCUCAAGGAUUGGGAUAACUCCGAGAAAUCGGAGCUAAUACCGGAUAGUUCAACGGACCGCAUGGUCCGCUGAUGAAAGGCGCUCCGGCGUCACCUUGAGAUGGCCUUGCGGUGCAUUAGCUAGUUGGUGGGGUAACGGCCCACCAAGGCGACGAUGCAAAGCCGACCUGAGAGGGUGAUCGGCCACACUGGGACUGAGACGCGGCCCAGACUCCUACGGGAGGCAGCAGUAGGGAAUCUUCCACAAUGGACGAAAGUCUGAUGGAGCAACGCCGCGUGAGUGAUGAAGGUUUUCGGAUCGUAAAACUCUGUUGUAAGGGAAGAACACGUACGAGAGGAAAUGCUCGUACCUUGACGGUACCUUACGAGAAAGCCACGGCUAACUACGUGCCAGCAGCCGCCGUAA
rnacentral:rRNA from 1 species